rnacentral:rRNA from 1 species
GACGUAGGAGCCAAGCGUUAUCCGAAUUCACUGGGCGUAAAGCGUGUGCAGGCGGCUUGUUAAGUUGGAUGUGAAAUCUCCUGGCUCAACUGGGAGAGGCCGUUCAAUACUGGCGGGCUAGAGGGCAACAGAGGAAGGUAGAAUUCCCGGUGUAGUGGUGAAAUGCGUAGAUAUCGGGAGGAAUACCAGUGGCGAAGGCGACCUUCUGGGUUGCACCUGACGCUCAGACACGAAAGCUAGGGGAGCGAACGGG